CCUACGGGGGGCAGCAGUGGGGAAUUUUGGACAAUGGGCGCAAGCCUGAUCCAGCUAUUCCGCGUGUGGGAAGACGGCCUUCGGGUUGUAAACCACUUUUGUAGAGAACGAAAAGUCUGUUGAUAAUACCGAUAGAUGAUGACGGUACUCUAAGAAUAAGCACCGGCUAACUACGUGCCAGCAGCCGCGGUAAUCCGAAGGGUGCGAGCGUUAAUCGGAAUUACUGGGCGUAAGGGGUGUGCAGGCGGUUUUGCAAGAGGGAUGUGAAAGCCCCGGGCUUACACUGGGAAAGCCAUACAUGACUGCAAGACUAGAGUGCGUCAGAGGGGGGUGGAAUUCCAAGUGUAGCAGUGAAAUGCGUAGAUAUUUGGAAGAACACCGAUGGCGAAGGCAGCCCCCUGGGACGCAACUGACGCUCAUACACGAAAGCGUGGGGAGCAAACAGGAUUAGAUACCCGUGUAGUC
rnacentral:rRNA from 1 species